rnacentral:rRNA from 1 species
UACGGAGGGGGCUAGCGUUGUUCGGAAUUACUGGGCGUAAAGCGCGCGUAGGCGGACCUGCAAGUCGGGGGUGAAAGCCCGAGGCUCAACCUCGGAACUGCCUUCGAUACUGCGGGUCUCGAGUCCGUGAGAGGUGAGUGGAAUUCCUAGUGUAGAGGUGAAAUUCGUAGAUAUUAGGAAGAACACCAGUGGCGAAGGCGGCUCACUGGCCCGGUACUGACGCUGAGGCGCGAAAGCGUGGGGAGCAAACAGG